AAUAGAUACCCCGGUAGUCCACGCCGUAAACGAUGUCGACUUGGAGGUUGUUCCCUUGAGGAGUGGCUUCCGGAGCUAACGCGUUAAGUCGACCGCCUGGGGAGUACGGCCGCAAGGUUAAAACUCAAAUGAAUUGACGGGGGGCCCGCACAAGCGGUGGAGCAUGUGGUUUAAUUCGGUGCAACGCGAAGAACCUUACCUACUCUUGACAUCCAGAGAACUUAGCAGAGAUGCUUUGGUGCCUUCGGGAACUCUGAGACAGGUGCUGCAUGGCUGUCGUCAGCUCGUGUUGUGAAAUGUUGGGUUAAGUCCCGCAACGAGCGCAACCCUUAUCCUUUGUUGCCAGCGGUUCGGCCGGGAACUCAAAGGAGACUGCCAGUGAUAAACUGGAGGAAGGUGGGGAUGACGUCAAGUCAUCAUGGCCCUUACGAGUAGGGCUACACACGUGCUACAAUGGCGUAUCAAAAGAGAAGCGACCUCGCGAGAGCAAGCGGACCUCAUAAAGUACGUCGUAGUCCGGAUUGGAGUCUGCAACUCGACU
rnacentral:rRNA from 1 species